GAGAGCAGGAGAGAACCAAACUGUUGUGUAGGCCCUCUCCUAAUCAAUGGAUCACUUUGCUUUUGAAUAAAAUCUGUGAAAGAAAUGGGGAAAAAGGCCACAAAAUACCACCUAGAAACAUAUUUUAUGACAAAGAAACAGGGUGCACCAAACCCAGGCUUCAGUGAGAAAAGAUGGUUGAGUGAACACUACAGCUGUGGAGCUUGUAAAGUUUUCAGGCAGAUUCUGUGGUGGCAGACUGUCACAUCCCUUAGUGGCCACAAUUCCAAAUUCUCAGCGUUUGGAGAUUCAUAUUUUCCCAAACUAUUUGGAUUUCUCCAUCAAGAAAACACUGCUUGCCACCAACUUUCUCUGCAUUGUAAAUGGCCCACAGAUUCAGAAUAGAAUUGGAGAGGUUUGAAACAACCCUGAAGAACAUUGAGUCAAACUAACCCAGCAUGGCCAAACCCACCACUAAAGCAUGAUGAACAGUUCCAGGGAUGGUCACUGCACCAUUUCUCUGUUCCAAUUGAGAGGUUUUUUUCCUGAUAUCCAAUCUAAACCUCUUGUAGUUGUUUCCUCUCCUCCUGUCCCUUGUUACCUGGGAGGCUGCCCCCUCCUUGCAGGUGGAUGCAACUGUCUGGAUGAUGUCUGUUUAGAAAAUUUUAAAAAGAAACAGCAAUCUGUGGAUGUGAGGUUUGGGCAGAGAGGCUGGCUGUAACCUCUGCACUUUAAAUACUGACAGCAACGGGCUUUUCCCUCACUGCAUUUCUAGUUUUCCUAGUUUUCCUCCUAAGGUGUUUUCCUAGUCUUCCUCCUAAGGUUAAGGCACCAGCUAUUUUCUUUUCUUUAAAUGCAGAGAUUAGCUGCAGAACCCUUUGUUGAUCAAGCUUGAGAGAAGCCUACAACAGUCCAGAAAGUUCACUUUGAUGUGGCUUUCUGUUCCUUAUGAGUGAGAGUUUCAAGGAAAUUUAAAUAUUUUAGGGUAGAGGCAGAGCUGAAAUUCCUAUGUGCUUACACUGGCUCUAUUGGUAUCUCUCACAGC
rnacentral:lncRNA from 1 species